GUGAAUCAUCAAAUUUUUGAACGCAAAUUGCACUCCCUGGUAUUCCGGGGAGUAUGCCUGUUUGAGGGUCGUUAGAAUAAAAAAUCGAGACUUCGCUCUUUUUUUGAAGGGUGAUCGCGUCGGAAUUGAGCCGUCUUUCAAGUGUUGAUUCAUGUCAAAGUGUCUUAAAAGUCAUCCAUCCGAUACUAUUAAAGCGGAUUUAAGGACAACUUUGAUUAAGAACGAGCGAUGUCGGACCAUC
rnacentral:misc_RNA from 1 species